GGUCUGUUGGUCUAGCGGUAUGAUUCUCGCUUAGGGUACACCCUGAAGCUCCAGCUUGCGAGAGGUCCCGGGUUCAAUCCCCGGACAGACCC